AGAAACCAACAGGGAUUGCCCUAGUAACGGCGAGUGAAGCGGCAACAGCUCAGAUUUGAAAUCUGGCCCAUUAGGGUCCGAGUUGUAAUCUGUAGAGGAUGCUUUUGGCGAGGUGCCUUCUAAGUCCCCUAGAACGGGGCGCCACAGAGGGUGAGAGCCCCGUACAGUUGGACACCGAACCUUUGUAAAGCUCCUUCGACGAGUCGAGUAGUUUGGGAAUGCUGCUCAAAAUGGGAGGUAUAUUUCUUCUAAAGCUAAAUACCGGCCAGAGACCGAUAGCGCACAAGUAGAGUGAUCGAAAGAUGAAAAGCACUUUGAAAAGAGGGUUAAAUAGCACGUGAAAUUGUUGAAAGGGAAGCGCUUGUGACCAGACUUGUGCCCGGUGAAUCAUCCAGCGUUCUCGCUGGUGCACUUUGCCGGGCUCAGGCCAGCAUCGGUUCUCCCAGGGGGAUAAAGGUCUCGGGAACGUAGCUCUCUUCGGGGAGUGUUAUAGCCCGUGGCAUAAUACCUUUGGGGGGACCGAGGACCGCGCUCUGCAAGGAUGCUGGCGUAAUGGUCAUCAGCGACCCGUCUUGAAACACGGACCAAGGAGUCAAGCAUUAGGGCGAGUCUUUGGGUGUAAAACCCGCAGGCGCAAUGAAAGUGAACGGAGGUGAGAGCUUCGGCGCAUCAUCGACCGAUCCUGAUGUUCUCGGAUGGAUUUGAGUAAGAGCCUUACCGCUUGGACCCGAAAGAUGGUGAACUAUGCCUGAAUAGGGUGAAGCCAGAGGAAACUCUGGUGGAGGCUCGCAGCGGUUCUGACGUGCAAAUCGAUCGUCAAAUUUGGGCAUGGGGGCGAAAGACUAAUCGAACCAUCUA
rnacentral:rRNA from 1 species